CCUACGGGUGGCAGCAGUGGGGGAUAUUGCACAAUGGGGGCAACCCUGAUGCAGCGACGCCGCGUGAGCGAUGGAGUACUUCGGUAUGUAAAGCUCUGUCAGCAGGGAAGAGAAUGACGGUACCUGACCAAGAAGCCCCGGCUAAAUACGUGCCAGCAGCCGCGGUAAUACGUAUGGGGCAAGCGUUAUCCGGAUUUACUGGGUGGAAAGGGAGCGUAGGCGGGAGGGCAAGCCUGAUGGGAAAGCCCGGGGCUCAACCCCGGGACUGGAUUGGGAACUGCCCCGCUCGAGGGCCGGAGGGGCAGACGGAAUUCCUAGUGUAGCGGUGAAAUGCGUAGAUAUUAGGAGGAAAACCAGGGGCGAAGGCGGCCUUCUUGACGGGUUACUGACGUUGAGGCUCGAAAGCGUGGGGAGCAAACAGGAUUAGAUACCCCUGUAGUC
rnacentral:rRNA from 1 species